rnacentral:tRNA from 1 species
GUGGCUGUAGCUCAGCUGGUUAGAGCACCGGCUUGUGGUGCCGGAUGUCGCGGGUUCGAAUCCCGUCAGCCACCCCA